rnacentral:lncRNA from 1 species
GAGAGGUUGAGGUCUUGGCGGAGGACAGCGAGGAGAGGGGGGAUGGAGAAGGUGGAGAAGUAGCAGGAGAAGAGAGAGAGCCAGGCGAGGUGGAAGGCGCGCAUGUGCGGCGGAGAGUUGGUGAAGGGGCGGAACUCGGUGGCCUUGUGAUCGGAAUCCACCGGGAGAGAGAAAGGGAAGGAUUGUUUGUGCAGCGGCAAUUCCAUGGAGGUUUAAUUGGU